UGUCUUUCACUUGUCAAGCUCAGAAUCGUAAUAUAAUUAGGAUUUUUACGAUUAACACUUUUACACAGAGCCCUGCGCUUCCUCUCUGGGCGCUGGGCAGGCUCGCCGUGCCGCGCUUUUCCUUCCUACCGGGCCAAAAAUAGUGGUGGGGCUGUGAUUGGCAGCCUGUCCUGGUAAUUAGCCACAGGAUGUCUGCUGCCAGUGGAAGCCAACGGAGACAUCAGCAAAAGGGAAAUCAGAGCAAACAACCCGAAGCUGUGAUCCAAGCAUCUGCUGCUGCUGCAGUGACCGAGCUGGGUCCUCAGCCGGCUGAGGAGGGGUCGGUGGCCCCCACGGCGGGGGCCCUGCAUGAGACCUCCCAUGCGGCUGGGUGCAGCACCCUUGCAGACGGGGAUCAGCACGAGCAAUGGUGGCGACCCAGGCUGAGCUGAGCGGGCAGUGGGAGAGCAGGCGUCCUCCCCAAAACGCCAGCACCAAGCCUGGCAGUGAGGAAAUGAGAAGAUAUCUUCUAAAGCAGAGAUAAAUAAAAGCCACUGCAUAAAUAGUACCUAUGCAAGGAAAUACUGCGCCAAAAGCCAAUGUUUGGGGGAAUGUCAAAGAUGCUGUCUCAUCUGCCAGCAUCUCCAGCACGAACGCGAUGUGUCAAUGUGAAGUGCUCCCAGCUGCGUCCGUCCACUCCGCUUUCAUUCCCGGGAGAGAUUCCUGGGACAAAAAACAGGUUGGCGUGAUGGAUCCAGCAGAGGUACGAAACGCUCGCUCCAGCCAGGGAAUGUGGGGCUGCAGGCGAGAACCCCAGACCACCGAGGAGAUGGUUCAGGACGAGGGAAGCAGUGGCACUAUGCCCAGCUCUGGGGCUGGCCUCUGGCGUUACGUGGGAUCUGAGGUCAGCCCGAGGAGCGCCCACCGCCCUGUGCACUGCCUUCUCCUGGGCCCUCGGCAAGCAGGAGAUUCGGGAAGCGUGCCGAGCCCCAUGGAGUAGUCUGGGCAAUGGGUUUGGAGCUCCCACAGCAGCCAUUUGGGGAGGCGUUCCCGUGUGUCCCCUGCCCAACCCAAGGGACCGGGCUCCUCGAAGGAAACCGCUCCGCAAAGCGUGCCUGUGCCAGAGCCAGCUCUGCAGCCAUCUCUCCAGCACCAGGCGGGAUUAAUCGCUUUAUCAGCCAAAUACAGGUGGGUUAACACAGUCACUUAAUCUCUGUUUAAGCAGCUGAUGCUUAAAAAAAUAGCCUAAAUUGUACUUG